CUGACAAUAAGUCAACCAGACGCUCAAGCAGAUCACCAGUGUCGAGUUGCUGCAAGCGAAGCUUUAGGAAUUUCAGCAGAGGGUCCAAAUAUCCAUCAGAAACAAGGCACACUGUUUCUUCAGUCUGCUCUUCAGACCAGAGAAAGAGGGCUUUGUACAAGGUGUCAGCAAUGCUGACGAAGAUCAUAGUCUUUUCUGCCUUGCUGGUUUUGCUGAUGGCUGCUCUGAUUCAAGCACAAGAGGAAUCUGGGGCCUUUCAGUCUGGGGCAUUAAGUGGGGAGCUCAGUGGAGAAGCAAGUGGUGACCCCAGCGGAGAAUCUAGUGGACAAACACACAGGGAGGUCAGCUGGUAUCUCAACAGUGAAUCAAAUGAUGAACCUGGUUUCCCUGAGUAAAGCAGUGGCAAUGGACCAGAAACCAGGAUUCUCUCUCCAGUCUCCUGUCUCAAGACCUCCUAACCUUGUGGAUUUGUUCACCCUGAACCACUCAUUAUGUCACUUCUCUCCUAGUAUAUGGAACACAAAUAGACUGAAAUGGAUGAAACUCACCUCUCCUUCAUCACUUCAUCUACAUCAAAGGAAGAAAAAAAAUCAAGCCUUGCAGUGCAAAGUGCAAUGUCAAAACGGAGUGAUAAUAGUAUGUAGAGCAUUAGCAAGAGUCCUGUAGAGCUUGUAAGAUUUCUGCUUCUUGUUGUGAUUCUAUCAGUGAUUUUAUUAAGGUGUAGUAAUAUUCUGCAAAGUGACUACAUAAAAUGUCCCCUUUUCAUUCAAUAAAUCAGCACUUUGUAUGCAA